GAAUUGGAAUAUAUAUUUAUUUGCAAGGCUGAUGGUUGCAUAUACACUUGAAAGUUAAAAGGUGGGGAUUGUCAACUAUUAGCAUCUGUGGAUGAUCUUUGCUUCAUUGCAAAGGAUGUAUCACAGGUAAACAAA